UACAGAGGUCCCAAGCGUUGUUCGGAUUUACUGGGCGUAAAGGGUGCGUAGGCGGUUGGGUGAGUCUGACGUGAAAUCUCCGGGCCUAACCCGGAAACUGCGUUGGAUACUAUUUGACUAGAGGAAUGGAGGGGAGACUGGAAUACUUGGUGUAGCAGUUUAAUGCGUAGAUAUCAAGUGGAACACCAGUGGCGAAGGCGAGUCUCUGGACAUUUCCUGACGCUGAGGCACGAAAGCCAGGGGAGCACACGGG
rnacentral:rRNA from 1 species